rnacentral:misc_RNA from 1 species
AACGCACAUUGCGCCCCUUGGCAUUCCGAGGGGCAUGCCUGUUCGAGCGUCAUUACAACCCUCAAGCCUGGCUUGGUAUUGGGCUUCGCUACUCAUCUGGCGGGCCUUAAAAUCAGUGGCGGCGCCGUCGAGGCCCUGAGCGCAGUAAAUCUCCUCGCUAUAGGGACCCGGCUGACUCUGGCCAGAACUCAACUUCUAAGUUUGACCUCGGAUCAGGUAGGGAUACCCGCUGAACUUAA